ACGUCUGGGGCAGCGUCUGCAGGGGCCAGGGCUCUUAAGGUCGUGUCCUUUUAGUCCUCGGUGUUGUAGUCUGGUUAUACUCCGCGGGGAAACGUCAUGUCAUGCCCGCUGUGUUGAGUCGUUUGGUUUGGUUUUCGAGUGACACCGAGGAACCUCACUGUCCCCGGACUCGGUCGGCAACAUGGUUUAAUGUCGGACAGAGACAGAGACAGAGACAGAGACAGAGAGACUGGGAAUGGGUCUCAGCAGCUGAGACAGACCCAGAGGAGGAGAGCAGCAGUAACAUGACACCUCUGCCUGAUUGGCUGAGCACGUAAUGACGAGUUGCCACAUAUCCGAAGUGGAUUCACUAAACCAGUUCUAGCUAGCUUAAGUUAGUUAAGCUAAAUCUGGCUAAAAGUAGCCUAGCCCCGUCUAACCUAACCUGUGGUAUUAUGGCGUAAAAAGUUUGAAAAUAGGCCUACUGUAGAAAUGUUAUAGAAAUUCACAGUACGUUAAAUAGCCUUUAUAAAG